GGGCGGUGGCGGCCGCGCGGGCCUGGAUGUGGGGGCUGGCUCGUGCCGCGCGGGCUCGUGCCCCCUGGCUGCCGGUUCCCGCCGCGGCGCAGUGGCGGCAGCGCUGUCGGCAGCGCCCUCUCGGCAGCGCCCUCUGUGCCUUGCUGCUGCUGGGGCUCGCCCCUGCUUCUGCGUCAUUCGUGGGACGUCUGCCUUGGCCAUGACGUCACCCCUUGAGGGGUUGAGGUCAGCAGAGCAGCCGUGACGUCGUUGUCCUAGGCCGCAAGGUGGCAUCCUGUGCCUAGGCCUCGCCUCGCCUCACGCAGUGCAUCACCGGAGAAGCUCAGAUUGCAGCAUUAUCACAUCAUAGCAUGGUUGUGGUUAUUCCAACCCACUAUUGCAGAAGAUGAACUCAUCCUGUGAGAGCAUUAAGGUAUGGUUUUCACCUAAAUGAAUUGGAACUAAAUAUGGGCAACAAGUGGCCCCUGCUGGAUGGAAACUUUCUGUUUGCGUCAGGGUAUUUCUGUCCUCCAGGAUAACAAGUUAAAUACUGUACAUUAGCAAGAAGGAAAUACAUAUCAUGAAUAAAAAGGAGAAAAUGCAUCUCUUCUUUUUACCAUACUGUUUUAGUGGUAGAGGUAGAUAGAGAAUUCUCUUUGCCUACUCCAUUCUCAAAAGUCAUCAUUUUUAAUACACACCUGCAGAAAUAAUCCUCCUUAUGGACUCAGUCACAUACUGUCAGUUUUAAUGAGCCCAGUGACU